CUGGCUCAGGACGAACGCUGGCGGCGUGCUUAACACAUGCAAGUCGAGCGAUGAAGUUCCUUCGGGA
rnacentral:rRNA from 1 species